rnacentral:misc_RNA from 1 species
GCUCAACUUUCUUGCUUUUGCCUCUUUACUAGCCCGACGAGCUAUUUCACUUAAGUGGAAGGACCCAGCUCCUCCUUGCUGUUCACAUUGGCUCAGAGACAUGAUAUCCUGCAUGAAUCUAGAGAAGAUUAGAUACACUAUUCGGGGAUCAGAAAACAAAUUCUACAGAAUAUGGCGCCCCUUCUUGGUAUUUUAUGAAAAACCU